rnacentral:rRNA from 1 species
UGGUGGAGUGAUUUGUCUGGUUAAUUCCGUUAACGAACGAGACCCCUGCCUGCUAAAUAGCUUGCAUAGUGAUUUUCACUGUGCGAAGCUUCUUAGAGGGACGUGCAUUCUAUUAGAUGCAGGAAGAUAGGGGCAAUAACA